rnacentral:rRNA from 2 species
UUCCGGUUGAUCCUGCCGGAGGUUACUGCUAUCGAGGUUCGACUAAGCCAUGCGAGUCGAAUGUAGCAAUACAUGGCGAACUGCUCAGUAACACGUGGACAACCUGCCCUUAGGUUGGGUAUAAACCCGGGAAACUGGGUAUAAUACCCGAUAGGUCUCGAUUGCUGGAAUGCAUCGAGAUUUAAAGCUCCGGCGCCUAAGGAUGGGUCUGCGGCCUAUCAGGUAGUAGUGGGUGUAGCGUACCUACUAGCCUACGACGGGUACGGGUUGUGAGAGCAAGAGCCCGGAGAUGGAUUCUGAGACACGAAUCCAGGCCCUACGGGGUGCAGCAGGCGCGAAAACUUUACAAUGCUGGCAACAGCGAUAAGGGAACCUCGAGUGCCAGGUUACAAAUCUGGCUGUCGAGAUGCCUAAAAAGCAUUUCAUAGCAAGGGCCGGGCAAGACCGGUGCCAGCCGCCGCGGUAACACCGGCGGCUCGAGUGGUAACCGUUAUUAUUGGGUCUAAAGGGUCUGUAGCCGGCCGGAUAAGUCUCUUGAGAAAUCUGGCAGCUUAACUGUCAGGCUUUCAGGAGAUACUGUCUGGCUCGAGGCCGGGAGAGGUGAGAGGUACUUCAGGGGUAGGGGUGAAAUCUUGUAAUCCUUGAAGGACCACCAGUGGCGAAGGCGUCUCACCAGAACGGACCUGACGGCAAGGGACGAAAGCUAGGGGCACGAACCGGAUUAGAUACCCGGGUAGUCCUAGCCGUAAACGAUACUCGCUAGGUGUCGGCCACGGUGCGACCGUUGUCGGUGCCGUAGGGAAGCCGUGAAGCGAGCCACCUGGGAAGUACGGCCGCAAGGCUGAAACUUAAAGGAAUUGGCGGGGGAGCACCACAACGGGUGGAGCUUGCGGUUUAAUUGGAUUCAACGCCGGG